rnacentral:rRNA from 1 species
AUACGUAGGGUGCAAGCGUUAAUCGGAAUUACUGGGCGUAAAGCGUGCGCAAGCGGUUUUGUAAGACAGUGGUGAAAUCCCCGGGCUCAACCUGGGAACUGCCAUUGUGACUGCAAGGCUGGAGUGCGGCAGAGGGGGAUGGAAUUCCGCGUGUAGCAGUGAAAUGCGUAGAUAUGCGGAGGAACACCGAUGGCGAAGGCAAUCCCCUGGGCCUGCACUGACGCUCAUGCACGAAAGCGUGGGGAGCAAACAGGAUUAGAUACCCUGGUAGUCCACGCCCUAAACGAUGUAAACUGGUUGUUGGGGAUUUAUUUUCUCAGUAACGAAGCUAACGCGUGAAGUUGACCGCCUGGGGAGUACGGCCGCAAGGUUAAAACUCAAAUGAAUUGGCGGGG